UACAGAGGCUGCAAGCGUUAUUCGGAUUCACUGGGCGUAAAGGGUGCGCAGGCGGCCGUAUGUGUGAGGCGUGAAAGCCCGGGGCUUAACCCCGGAAUUGCACCUCAAACUAUACGGCUAGAGCAUUGGAGAGGGUAGCAGAAUUCAUGGUGUAGCAGUGAAAUGCGUAGAUAUCAUGAGGAAUACCAGAGGCGAAGGCGGCUACCUGGACAAUUGCUGACGCUCAGGCACGAAAGCGUGGGGAGCAAAAGGG
rnacentral:rRNA from 1 species